AUUUUUUUUGAUCGGAACAACAGUAUAUAUUGAAAGAAGUCAAGUGAGGAACGAGACAACAAGGGGGACUAGCCACCAAAUUUUCAGGAAGAGACCCUCCUAAUCUAGCUCGAGCUAUCCAAUGUGCCGCCCCGUGGAUGUCAAGUUCAAGUGUCAAUGGCAGUAGCUCAGAUCGGUUGACAUACAUCAACAGAAAUUGUCGUAGAUGUAAUAAAAAGGCCAUCAUUCGAAUUUCUGAGACUGGUCGAAACAAGAACAAGUUAUUCUACUCUUGUAAUGAUUGUGGUUUUGUUGGAUGGUGUUUGCCUAUGAAUUCAGAAUAUGGAGGUCGUCAUCAAAUGCCAAGAGAAGAAGUGCCAAUUGUCGGCGAACAAGUUAUGACCGAACAACUUAGAGCUAUGACGGAACAACAAAGAGAGAUGACGGAACAACUUCGAGUUCAGAGUGCAAAGAUGCAAAAGCUGAUAUAUAUAUAUAUAUAUUGUCCGUGUUGCUUGUAAUUUGUACCUUAACACUUAUGAAGAUGUAAUAACAUAGAUAUACCGUUAUGUAAGUUAGAAGUAGAAGUAGAUGUCAAUGUACAAGUUCAAGUAGACUGAAUACUUUUGUAUAAUACUGUGAUGUUUUAGAGGAAGUUAUGUUUUGUUGUGUAUUGAAACCUAAUUAUUGUACCUCUUUUGUGGUGAGUGGAAUGGAAAAUGACUUGUUCAAACU